GACGAACGCUGGCGGCGUGCUUAACACAUGCAAGUCGAACGGAAAGGCCCCUUUGGUGGUGCUCGAGUGACUAACGCGUGAGUAACUCGCGUGUCAGCUACCCUCGACUUCGGGAUACCUACACUAAACUGGGGCUAUUUCAUGUUAGGGCUUCUUGCUGCAUGGAGGGGUUUGGGCGCCUUCGGAGGGUUUUGCUUGACUCGCGCGUGUUCAGCUUGUUUGGGGGGUAGAGGCUUACCAAGGCUUGGACAGGUGGGCGGCCCGAGAGGGGGACCGGCCACAUUGGGGAAGAGAUACGGCCCAGUUUCCCACGGGGGGCAGAAGUGGGGAAUAUUGCACAAUGGGGGGAAAGCUGAUGCAGCAACGCCUCGGUGGGGAUGACGACCUUCGGGUUGUAAACCGCUUUCAGCAGGUGCGAAGCAUGUAGUGACGGUACCUGCAGAAGAAGCACCGGCUAACUACGUG
rnacentral:rRNA from 1 species